UACGUAGGGGGCAAGCGUUGUCCGGAUUUCCUGGGCGUAAAGAGCGUGUAGGCGGCCAAACAGGUCCGUUGUGAAAACUGGAGGCUCAACCUCCAGACGUCGACGGAAACCGUGUGGCUAGAGUCCGGAAGAGGAGAGUGGAAUUCCUGGUGUAGCGGUGAAAUGCGCAGAUAUCAGGAAGAACACCAAUGGCGAAGGCAGCUCUCUGGGACGGUACUGACGCUGAGACGCGAAAGCGUGGGGAGCGAACAGG
rnacentral:rRNA from 1 species